rnacentral:rRNA from 1 species
CGAAAGUUACUCUAAUAAAUACUUGAAUACACGACAGUUUGGGUACAAACUGAGAUUAGAUACCUCACUAUGCCAAACCGUAAAAUCAACUCACACCUAACAGCGCCAGGGAAUUACGAGCUUAAGCUUAAAACCCAAAGGACUUGACGGUGUCCCACCCACCUAGAGGAGCCUGUUCUAUAAUCGAUGAUCCACGCUAUACCCAACCAUUUUUUGCCUUAUCAGCCUGUAUACCUCCGUCGUAAACUUACCAUUUGAAUGUUUAAUAGUAGGUUUAAUGGCCCCCCACCAAUACGUCAGGUCAAGGUGCAGCUUAUGAAAUGGAAAGCAAUGGGCUACAAUUUCUAACUUAGAACAUACGAAAUACUGCAUGAAAUAUAGUCAUGAAGGCGGAUUUAGUAGUAAAAGGGGAAUAGAGAGCCCCUUUAAACUUGGCCCUGGGACGUGUACAAACCGCCCGUCACCCUCUUCAA